rnacentral:rRNA from 1 species
AGAGUUUGAUCCUGGCUCAGAGCGAACGCUGGCGGCGUGCUUAACACAUGCAAGUCGAGUGCGCGCCCGUAGCAAUACGGGUGGCGCACGGCGCACGGGUGCGUAACACGUGGGUAACCUGCCCUUUGAUGGGGAAUAACCCCGCGAAAGCGGGGCUAAUUCCGCAUAAGAUCCGCAAGGAUGAAAGCCGUAAGGCGUCGAAGGAGGGGCCUGCGCACGAUUAGCUAGUUGGUAGGGUAACGGCCUACCAAGGCUUUGAUCGUUAGCUGGUCUGAGAGGAUGGCCAGCCACACUGGAACUGAGACACGGUCCAGACUCCUACGGGAGGCAGCAGUGGGGAAUCUUGCACAAUGGGCGAAAGCCUGAUGCAGCGACGCCGCGUGGGGGAUGAAGCUUCUCGGAGUGUAAACCCCUUUCGACCCGGACGAAUACCUCGCAAGAGGGGUGACGGUACGGGUAUAAGAAGCCCCGGCUAACUACGUGCCAGCAGCCGCGGUAAGACGUGGGGGGCCAGCGUUGCUCGGAAUUACUGGGUGUAAAGGGUCAGUAGGCGGUGUGGCAAGUCGGGAGUGAAAUCUCUGGGCUUAACUCAGAGACUGCUUCCGAAACUGCUGUGCUUGAGUGUGGGAGAGGCGCGUGGAAUUGCAGGUGUAGCGGUGAAAUGCGUAGAUAUCUGCAGGAACACCCGUGGCGAAAGCGGCGCGCUGGACCACAACUGACGCUGAAUGACGAAAGCUAGGGGAGCAAACAGGAUUAGAUACCCUGGUAGUCCUAGCCCUAAACGAUCAGGACUUGGGGUGCCACCCGUUCGGGUGUCGUCCCGGAGCUAACGCGUUAAGUCCUGCACCUGGGGAGUACGGUCGCAAGACUGAAACUCAAAGGAAUUGACGGGGCCCGCACAAGCGGUGGAACAUGUGGUUCAAUUCGACGCUACGCGAGGAACCC